UGGGGAAUAUUGGACAAUGGGCGAAAGCCUGAUCCAGCCAUGCCGCGUGUGUGAAGAAGGCCUUUUGGUUGUAAAGCACUUUAAGCGAGGAGGAGGCUACUUGGAUUAAUACUCUAGGAUAGUGGACGUUACUCGCAGAAUAAGCACCGGCUAACUCUGUGCCAGCAGCCGCGGUAAUACAGAGGGUGCGAGCGUUAAUCGGAUUUACUGGGCGUAAAGCGUGCGUAGGCGGCUUUUUAAGUCGGAUGUGAAAUCCCUGAGCUUAACUUAGGAAUUGCAUUCGAUACUGGGAAGCUAGAGUAUGGGAGAGGAUGGUAGAAUUCCAGGUGUAGCGGUGAAAUGCGUAGAGAUCUGGAGGAAUACCGAUGGCGAAGGCAGCCAUCUGGCCUAAUACUGACGCUGAGGUACGAAAGCAUGGGGAGCAAACA
rnacentral:rRNA from 1 species